rnacentral:rRNA from 1 species
GAUGAACGCUGGCGGCGUGCUUAACACAUGCAAGUCGAACGGAAGUUUUAAAUGGAAGUUUUCGGAUGGAAAUUUAAAACUUUAGUGGCGGACGGGUGAGUAACGCGCGGGCAACCUGCCGUAUACAGGGGGAUAACACUUAGAAAUAGGUGCUAAUACCGCAUAAGCGCACAGUAUCGCAUGAUACAGUGUGAAAAGCCUUGACGGUAUACGAUGGACCCGCGUCUGAUUAGCUAGUUGGUGAGGUAGAGGCUCACCAAGGCGACGAUCAGUAGCCGGCCUGAGAGGGUGACCAGCCACAUUGGGACUGAGACACGGCCCAAACUCCUACGGGAGGCAGCAGUGGGGAAUAUUGCACAAUGGGGGAAACCCUGAUGCAGCGACGCCGCGUGAGUGAAGAAGUAUUUCGGUAUGUAAAGCUCUAUCAGCAGGGAAGAAAAUGACGGUACCUGACUAAGAAGCCCCGGCUAACUACGUGCCAGCCGCCGCGGUAAAAC